rnacentral:rRNA from 1 species
GGGCACUGAAGGACGAGCCUGCGGCCCAUCAGCUAGUUGGUGAGGUAAAGGCUCACCAAGGCGACGAUCUGUAGCGGGUCUGAGAGGAUGAUCCGCCACACUGGAACUGAGACACGGUCCAGACUCCUACGGGAGGCAGCAGUGGGGAAUUUUUGGACAAUGGGCGCAAGCCUGAUCCAGCCAUGCCGCGUGAGUGAAGAAGGCCUUCGGGUUGUAAAGCUCUUUCGGCCGGGAAGAAAUCGCACAGGUUAAUACCCUGUGUGGAUGACGGUACCGGAAUAAGAAGCACCGGCUAACUACGUG